rnacentral:rRNA from 1 species
UACGUAGGGAGCAAGCGUUGUCCGGAAUCAUUGGGCGUAAAGCGCGCGUAGGUGGCCCCAUAAGUCCGCUGUGAAAGUCAAAGGCUCAACCUUUGAAAGCCGGUGGAUACUGUGGGACUAGAGUACGGAAGAGGCGAGUGGAAUUCCUGGUGUAGCGGUGGAAUGCGCAGAUAUCAGGAGGAACACCAAUAGCGAAGGCAGCUCGCUGGGACGUUACUGACACUGAGGCGCGAAAGCCAGGGGAGCGAACGGG